rnacentral:rRNA from 1 species
GUUAGCGGCGCGCUUAACACAUGCAAGUCGAACGAGAAAGCUCCUUCGGGAGUGAUUAAAGUGGCGCACGGGUGAGUAACACGUGGGUAAUCUACCCUUUGGCGGGGGACAACAUUUCGAAAGAGAUGCUAAUACCGCAUAAGUCCACUUCGGUGGGGAAAGAUGGCCUCUUCUUGAAAGCUAUCACCAGAGGAUGAGCCCGCGGCCCAUCAGUUUGUUGGUAGGGUAAUGGCCUACCAAGGCUUCGACGGGUAGCUGAUCUGAGAGGAUGAUCAGUCACACUGGAACUGAGACACGGUCCAGACUCCUACGGGAGGCAGCAGUGGGGAAUAUUGCGCAAUGGGGGAAACCCUGACGCAGCGACGCCGCGUGGGUGAUGAAGGUUUUCGGAUCGUAAAGCCCUGUGGGAGAGGGAAGAACAACCUAGGGGAACAAUACCCCACUAGGUCUGACGGUACCUCUCCAGAAAGCACCGGCUAACUCCGUGCCAGCAGCCGCGGUAACACGGAGGGUGCGAACGUUGUUCGGAAUCACUGGGCGUAAAGCGCAUGCAGGCGGCGCA